rnacentral:lncRNA from 1 species
CAUGGUAUGCUCAGUGACUCUGCAGCCCAAAUUUCAACUUGUUAUUUUCACCUGAUGAUGUGUUUGCUAAAAGAGACUUUCUUUCGGUUUGUUGAUUUCUCCAGGUGGUGGUGAUGAUACUAUUUACAGCAGCUAGCAACAGAAAUAAUGGCUAGCUUGUUGCUUGGCAGUGCUGGCCCAAGUGAUGUCCAAAGGCAUUUCCAAAGAAGGCAUUGGAGAAGCUGCAGGUCGUUUCCGUUACUGAACCUCUUUGUGCAUUCCCUAUCUGAAUCUUCUGUUCCAUCUGAAGAACCUUUGAUGCCACUAUGCCAGCUUACCUUGCUUGGGGGAACCACAAACAACUUCUUUUGUAUCCAGCUUUAGCACCAACAAACAAUAUUUCUUCCGCUAUGGUUCCUUCUCAAUUA